UACGUAGGGUGCGAGCGUUAAUCGGAAUUACUGGGCGUAAAGCGUGCGCAGGCGGUUAUUUAAGUCAGGUGUGAAAGCCCUGGGCUUAACCUAGGAAUUGCGCUUGAGACUGGAUAGCUUGGAGUGCGGCAGAGGGAGGUGGAAUUCCACGUGUAGCAGUGAAAUGCGUAGAGAUGUGGAGGAACACCGAUGGCGAAGGCAGCCUUCUGGGCCAACACUGACGCUCAUGCACGAAAGCGUGGGGAGCAAACAGG
rnacentral:rRNA from 1 species